rnacentral:lncRNA from 1 species
AUGAGUUCUUGUAUGCCUCAUGCGUUUGGAAAGACCUCGCCCCUUGAACUCUGUGACUCCCUGCCUCAUGCCCCCCCCCCCCCCCCCCCCCCCCCGCCUGCAGCUGGGAAGAAGCUUGAAUAUUGCCGAAAGUCCUCAUUGUACUCACAAAGGGCUAGCCUCGAAUGUCACUUCCCCGACCUUCAAUCUCCCCACCUAGAGAGGGAUACAAUCACAGGUCUCUUGGCCUCAAUCAGAACUGCUGCCCACGCCGGCACCGCCACCGCCACCGGGGAGACUCGCAUGCCGCCGCCACCACCUCACCGGGAGGGAGCCGCGCCCGCCGCCGCCCCCCGAGCCCCGACAGCUGCCUCGCCUUGCCGCCGCCUCCCUGCAGGGCUCCUGUUUGGACGAAACACCCAAAACUGCGAAAACGUGUUUGCCUCCCCUGUUUACCCGACAGUCCGGGGGACCCCGAAGAGUCCCGCCCCCCCCCCCCCCGUGCCCUCCCUCUGCAGGUCUCGGUGCACCCCGCAGGCUGCGGUGGGCGCGGGCACGCAGCUUUGUUCAAAUUCGAGUCCACUGUGUGUGCUUCCGCGCGGGCCGCAGGCAGCCCAGGACGGCCUCUCUGUGGCUCCUCACUGGCUUGUCCUACCCUGCGCAGGUAAUGCAACCAAUUUUGGUCUCAUCAGUCUGUUUUUUUUCCCCUGCCGCCCUUUAUUUAUCGAGCAUAAUACUACACGUGAAAGAACAGCAAAUAAGAACUUUGUAGAAUCCCACCAGGACUUUGCUAACAAUGAUAUUUGGAAAAUAGAAAAAAAAAAAAAAAACGCUCUGAAAACUAGCAGCCACCAAAAUAGUUUUGUUGGCACUGUGUUCACACGCAUGGUCCCCACACCCCCAGGUUGGGUUUUUGGGUUUCGUUUUCGUUUUCGGGGGGCUUUUCAUGUUACAUCCAUAUCUGUAUUUAUAUCUUAUUUGUUUCACUCUCAAGUGUAUCAUGGCAAAUGUACAGAUUUUUUUUGUUAA